rnacentral:rRNA from 1 species
UACGUAGGGGGCUAGCGUUGUCCGGAAUCAUUGGGCGUAAAGCGCGUGUAGGCGGCCCGGUAAGUCCGCUGUAAAAGUCGGGGGCUCAACCCUCGAAAGCCGGUGGAUACUGUCGGGCUAGAGUACGGAAGAGGCGAGUGGAAUUCCUGGUGUAGCGGUGAAAUGCGCAGAUAUCAGGAAGAACACCUAUGGCGAAGGCAGCUCUCUGGGACGGUACUGACGCUGAGACGCGAAAGCGUGGGGAGCGAACAGG